ensembl:vault_RNA Vault Vault RNA
GGGCCGGCUUUAGCCCAGUGGUUCCUUCGACUUCUACGUGUUUGACUCCACGCCUGUACCGAUCGCCUCGCGGGCGGUUCGCGUCCUGAGCCGAUCCGAGACCCACGGGCGCUUUCUGGCCCUUUU